AGGACAAACGCUGGCGGCGUGCGUAACACAUGCAAGUCGAACGUCUCUUCUUUCGGGAAGAGGAGUGGCGGACGGGUGAGGAACACGUGGGAACCUGCCCUUUAGUGAGGAAUACCGGCGAGAAAUCGCCGACAAGACCGCAUAGCCCUCUUUGAUGAGAGUCAAAGAAGGAAAGCUUCGCAAGAGGCGCUAGAGGAGGGGCCUGCGUCCGAUUAGCUAGUUGGUGGGGUAAGAGCCUACCAAGGCGUCGAUCGGUAGCUGGUCUGAGAGGACGAUCAGCCACACUGGGAUUGAGAACGGCCCAGACUCCUACGGGGGGCAGCAGUGAGGAAUUUUCGGCAAUGGGGGAAACCCUGACCGAGCAACGCCGCGUGCAGGAAGACGGCCUUCGGGUUGUAAACUGCUUUCUCGGGAAGAGAACGGACGGUACCCGAGGAAUCAGCCCCGGCUAACUACGUGCCAGCAGCCGC
rnacentral:rRNA from 1 species